CUCCUAUAUACGUCCUGGGUGGAUAUCUGACAUUUUUGACGUAUUUAAACAAACCUCGUACACUUGAGCAGAUCAAGGAGAAUAUUCGUGCAUAAAUUCGAGCCUCAAACAUUAGCUUUUCUUAUGAACAAUGCAAUCGAAAGCGUCCGACUUUGCGAGGCGGUAAAUGGAACUGAUUUAAAAGAUGUCAUCUUCCGUACAUAGUCAGGCAAGUCUUCAUACAAAGAGCAUUCAUUGUUUGUAAUAUCAUUGAAAUUGGUUCAUUCAUAAAAAAAGUUAUUCACCCCUCAAACCCUACUCUAAAUUUGGCAGAGUUUAAA